UACGGAGGGUGCAAGCGUUAUCCGGAUUCACUGGGUUUAAAGGGUGCGUAGGAGGGCAGGUAAGUCAGUGGUGAAAUCUCCGAGCUUAACUUGGAAACUGCCGUUGAUACUAUCUGUCUUGAAUAUUGUGGAGGUGAGCGGAAUAUGUCAUGUAGCGGUGAAAUGCUUAGAUAUGACAUAGAACACCAAUUGCGAAGGCAGCUCGCUACACAUACAUUGACUCUGAGGCACGAAAGCGUGGGGAUCAAACAGG
rnacentral:rRNA from 1 species